GAUGAACGCUGGCGGCGUGCCUAAUACAUGCAAGUCGAGCGAACAGACGAGGAUCUUGCUCCUCUGACGUUAGCGGCGGACGGGUGAGUAACACGUGGAUCACCUCCCUAUAAUACUGGGAUAACUUCGGGAAACCGGAGCUAAUACCGGAUAAUAUCUUGAACCGCAUGGUUCAAUAGUGAAAGACGGUUUUGCUGUCACUUAUAGAUGGAUCCGCGCUGCAUUAGCUAGUUGGUAAGGUAACGGCUUACCAAGGCAACGAUGCGUAGCCGACCUGAGAGGGUGAUAGGCCACACUAGAACUGAGACACGGACCAGACGCCUACGGGAGGCAGCAGUAGGGAAUCUUCCGCAAUGGGCGAAAGCCUGACGGAGCAACGCCGCGUGAGUGAUGAAGGUCUUCGGAUCGUAAAACUCUGUUAUUAGGGAAGAACAAAUGUGUAAGUAAAUGUGCACGUCUUGACGGUACCUAAUCAGAAAGCCACGGCUAACUACGUG
rnacentral:rRNA from 1 species